UACGAAGGGGGCUAGCGUUGUUCGGAAUUACUGGGCGUAAAGCGCGCGCAGGCGGCUAUCCAAGUCAGUGGUGAAAGCCCGGAGCUCAACUCCGGAACUGCCAUUGAAACUGUUUAGCUUGAGGACGAGAGAGGUGAGUGGAGUUCCCAGUGUAGAGGUGAAAUUCGUAGAUAUUGGGAAGAACACCGGUGGCGAAGGCGGCUCACUGGCUCGUAUCUGACGCUCAGGCGCGACAGCGUGGGGAUCAAACAGG
rnacentral:rRNA from 1 species